UUUUGCUGUUGUUUAGGCAGAGUGGUUAGAGCGUCUGCCUCGGAUGUGGGAGGUCGUGGGUUCGAUCCCCGGCCGAGUCAUACAAAAA